AUUGAACGCUGGCGGCAUGCCUUACACAUGCAAGUCGAACGGCAGCACGGGUGCUUGCACCUGGUGGCGAGUGGCGAACGGGUGAGUAAUACAUCGGAACAUGUCCUGUAGUGGGGGAUAGCUCGGCGAAAGCCGGAUUAAUACCGCAUACGAUCUACGGAUCAAAGCGGGGGACCUUCGGGCCUCGCGCCCUAGGGUUGGCCGAUGGCUGAUUAGCUAGUUGGUGGGGUAAAGUCCUACCAAGGCGACGACCAGUAGCUGGUCUGAGAGGCCGACCAGCCACACUAGGACUGAGACACGGCCCAGACUCCUACGGGAGGCAGCAGUGGGGAAUUUUGGACAAUGGGCGAAAGCCUGAUCCAGCAAUGCCGCGUGUGUGAAGAAGGCCUUCGGGUUGUAAAGCACUUUUGUCCGGAAAGAAAUCCUUGGCCCUAAUACGGUCGGGGGAUGACGGUACCGGAAGAAUAAGCACCGGCUAACUACGUG
rnacentral:rRNA from 1 species